rnacentral:rRNA from 1 species
AUACGGAGGGUGCAAGCGUUAAUCGGAAUUACUGGGCGUAAAGGGCGCGUAGGCGGUCUAUCAAGUCAGGUGUGAAAUCCCACGGCUCAACCGUGGAGGUGCAUCUGAAACUGAUAGACUUGAGUAUGUGAGAGGAAAGUGGAAUUCCCGGUGUAGAGGUGAAAUUCGUAGAUAUCGGGAGGAACACCAGUGGCGAAGGCGACUUUCUGGACCAAUACUGACGCUGAGGCGCGAAAGCGUGGGGAGCAAACAGGAUUAGAUACCCUAGUAGUCC